rnacentral:rRNA from 1 species
ACGAACGCUGGCGGCGUGCCUAACACAUGCAAGUCGAGCGGAGACAUACAAGUAGCAAUACGAGGAUGUUUUAGCGGCGGACGGGUGAGUAACGCGUGAGUAACCUGUCCCAAACUGGGGGAUAACGAGCCGAAAGGCUCACUAAUACCGCAUAAGACCACGAGGUCACAUGGCUUUGAGGUCAAAGGAGCAAUCCGGUUUGGGGUGGACUCGCGUCUGAUUAGCUAGUUGGUGGGGUAACGGCCUACCAAGGCGACGAUCAGUAGCCGACCUGAGAGGGUGAUCGGCCACAUUGGAACUGAGACACGGUCCAAACUCCUACGGGAGGCAGCAGUGGGGAAUAUUGGGCAAUGGAGGAAACUCUGACCCAGCAACGCCGCGUGAAGGAAGAAGGUUUUCGGAUCGUAAACUUCUAUCCUUGGUGAAGAUAAUGACGGUAGCCAAGAAGGAAGCCCCGGCUAACUACGU